rnacentral:rRNA from 1 species
CCCGUUGUACACACCGCCCGUCACACCAUGGGAGUUGGUUCUACCCGAAGGUAGUGCGCUAACCGCAAGGAGGCAGCUAACCACGGUAGGGUCAGCGACUGGGUG